UUUCUGCUGAGGACGACCGGUCCGCCCUCUGGGUGAGUAUCUGGCUUGGCCUUGGCAUCUUCUUGGAGAACGUAGCUGCACUUGACUGUGUGGUGCGGUAUCCAGGACUUUUACUUUGAGGAAAUUAGAGUGUUUCAAGCAGGCACACGCCUUGAAUACAUUAGCAUGGAAUAAUAAGAUAGGACCUUGGUUCUAUUUUGUUGGUUUGUGCACCAGAGUAAUGAUCAAUAGGGACAGUUGGGGGUAUUCGUAUUCCAUU
rnacentral:rRNA from 1 species